UAGGGAAUCUUCGGCAAUGGGGGGAACCCUGACCGAGCAACGCCGCGUGAGUGAAGAAGGUUUUCGGAUCGUAAAGCUCUGUUGUUAAGGAAGAACGAGUGUGAGAAUGGAAAGUUCAUGCUGUGACGGUACUUAACCAGAAAGGGACGGCUAACUACGUGCCAGCAGCCGCGGUAAUACGUAGGUCCCGAGCGUUGUCCGGAUUUAUUGGGCGUAAAGCGAGCGCAGGCGGUUAGAAAAGUCUGAAGUGAAAGGCAGUGGCUCAACCAUUGUAGGCUUUGGAAACUGUUUAACUUGAGUGCAGAAGGGGGGAGUGGAAUUCCAUGUGUAGGGGUGAAAUGCGUAGAUAUAUGGAGGAACACAGGUGGCGAAAGCGGGUCUCUAGUCUGUAUCUGACGAUGAGGCUAGAAAGCGUGGGGAGCGAACAGG
rnacentral:rRNA from 1 species